UAAAUACUCCCUCCGUCUCAUAUUAAGUGACUCAAAUUUGUCCAAAUAUGAAUGUAUCUAUGCCUAAAAAAUGUCUAGAUGCAUGUAAUAGAAAGUCACUUAAUAUGGGACGGAGGGAGUAUUAG
rnacentral:pre_miRNA from 1 species